ACCUUGACCCUCUCUUCAUGAAUAUGCUGUAUGGUGGACAGCAGACAGACAAACUGAGGUCUACCACCAAGCACAGCCAUAUCGUGAGCUAUUUCAACCCAUGGGUUUUCCACUGAGGGUAUGCCAUUCAACUCAGAACACCUCUGUGCCUGUCUCUCUCGAUUGCUAUCUAAGACAGCUGAACACUGUGUCCUGGCUUCUUCCAGUUGGAGUCCUAUCACAACCUGUCGCAGCCUGGGCGUUUCAUUCAGUUGAGCAUGACGGAGGCAAGGAAGUUUCUCAACGAGGAAAAGGUUGUGCUGACCACAGAAGUAACUCUAUAUAUCUUACCUUAUAGGGGAAGGAUUUCAGAAUCAAUGGAAUGGCUUAGGCAGCUCCAUAAUCUGUGUUUAAGUAGUGUGGGAACUGGAGAGGGAAGGCUUGCUAAUGUUUUACCAACCAAGCUUUGAUUUUACUUUGGGGGAAAUGUAAUAUUUGUAUAAUUUCUUUAUAGUAUAUCUUAUAUAUACACAUACACACACACACACACA